rnacentral:rRNA from 1 species
GACGUGACAAGCUGCGAUAAGCUUCGGGUAGGUGCAAAUAACCAUUAAUCCGAAGAUUUCCGAAUGGGGCAACCCACCAUGCUGAAGGCAUGGUAUCCCGUUAAGGGAGGCAAACCCGGUGAACUGAAACAUCUAAGUAGCCGGAGGAGAAGAAAACAAAAGUGAUUCCGCAAGUAGUGGCGAGCGAACGCGGAUUAGCCCAAACCAAGGUUGUUACGGCAGCUUUGGGGUUGUAGGACCACGAUAUAGGACGAUAAGAUGAUAACAGAACACAGCUGGAAAGCUGGGCCGGAGAAGGUGAGAGCCCUGUAAGUGAAAUUAUCUUGUUACCUUAGUGGGAUCCUGAGUAGGGCGGGACCGGUGAAAUCCUGUCUGAAUCAGCCAGCACCAUCUGGUAAGGCUAAAUACUCCUGAGAGACCGAUAGUGGACAAGUACCGUGAGGGAAAGGUGAAAAGCACCCCGAUGAGGGGAGUGAAAGAGAACCUGAAACCGAAUGCCUACAAGCAGUGGGAGCCUCCAGACUCUUCGGAGUCUGCGGGGUGACCGCGUACCUUUUGUAUAAUGGGUCAGCGAGUUCGUCUGUGUAGCGAGCUUAAGCCGGAAGGCGGAGGCGCAGCGAAAGCGAGUCUGAAGAGGGCGACUGAGUUACACGGAUGAGACCCGAAACCGAGUGAUCUAGCCAUGGCCAGGCUGAAGGUGGGGUAACACCCACUGGAGGGCCGAACCGGUGACUGUUGAAAAAGUGUCGGAUGAGCUGUGGCUAGGGGUGAAAGGCCAAUCAAACUCGGAAAUAGCUGGUUCUCCGCGAAAUCUAUUGAGGUAGAGCGUCGAUCGCUCACCGCCGGGGGUAGAGCACUGGAUGGGCUAGGGGGGCGCGAGCCUUACCAAACCUAACCAAACUCCGAAUACCGGCGAGUGGAGGUCGGCAGCCAGACCAUGGGUGCUAAGGUCCGUGGUCGAGAGGGAAACAGCCCAGACCGCCAGCUAAGGUCCCGAAGUCGUGGCUCAGUGGGAAAGGAUGUAGGAAGGCCAAGACAACCAGGAGGUUGGCUUAGAAGCAGCCAUCCUUUAAAGAAAGCGUAAUAGCUCACUGGUCUAGACAAGCCGUCCCGCGCCGAAAAUGUAACGGGGCUCAAGCCACGUACCGAAGCUGCGGAUGUGCAAGCGAUUGCACGUGGUAGCGGAGCGUUCCGCAAGCCUGUGAAGGGGUCUCGCGAGGGAUCCUGGAGGCACCGGAAGCGAGAAUGCUGACAUGAGUAGCGACAAACAGUGUGAGAGACACUGUCGCCGAAAGUCCAAGGGUUCCUGCGCAAGGUUAAUCCGCGCAGGGUGAGCCGGUCCCUAAGGCGAGGCCGAGAGGCGUAGUCGAUGGGAACCAGGUUAAUAUUCCUGGGCCUGCUGGAUGUGACGAACGCUGCAAGUGGUGAGGGCUUACUGGAUUGCCCUUGCUGCGAAGGCGUUCCGGGAAACAACGCCAGCGUGAGACCGUACCCGAAACCGACACAGGUGGACUGGUAGAGCAUACCAAGGCGCUUGAGAGAAUGAUGCUGAAGGAACUCGGCAAAUUACCUCCGUAACUUCGGGAGAAGGAGGCCCUUGUCUUGGGCAACCAGGAUGAGGGGGCACAGACCAGGGGGUAGCGACUGUUUACCAAAAACACAGGGCUCUGCGAAGCCGCAAGGCGACGUAUAGGGUCUGACGCCUGCCCGGUGCCGGAAGGUUAAGAGGAGGGGUGCAAGCUCUGAAUCGAAGCCCCGGUAAACGGCGGCCGUAACUAUAACGGUCCUAAGGUAGCGAAAUUCCUUGUCGGGUAAGUUCCGACCUGCACGAAUGGCGUAACGACUUCCCCGCUGUCUCCAACAUCGACUCAGCGAAACUGAAUUCUCCGUGAAGAUGCGGAGUACCCGCGGUUAGACGGAAAGACCCCGUGCACCUUUACUACAGCUUUGCAGUGGUAUUAGGGUCGGCAUGUGUAGGAUAGGCGGGAGCCUAUGAAGC